ACUAUACUCCCUCCGUCCGAAAAUAUUUGUCCAAGAAAUGAAUAUAAAUGGAUGUAUCUAGAAUUAAAAUACAUCUAGAGUCAUCCAUUCCCCGGACAAGUAUUUCCAGACGGAGGAACACUACAAG
rfam:Triticum aestivum genome assembly, contig: Triticum_aestivum_CS42_TGACv1_scaffold_501160_6BL